AUAAAGUAUGUCUCACAUAAAAUUUAAAGACAAAAUUGUCCUACACCCACUUGAGAAUUCAGAUCUGUCACCACCUCGUCAAAUUCUCUUUCUUUCUAUCAAUAUCAUGUUUCUUCAUAUAUGAAAAAAAAUAUAUAUCUGAAGCUUUUCCUUUCUAUUAUCAUAUAUGAAAUUGAAGAAACAUAUAAUAUUUCAUCUUCUUUUUCUAUUACCCUGAAGCUUUCCAACUUUAAAAUUGGUUACAAUCAGUCUUCAAUUUCAAUCCAAAACUCUUCAAUUUCAAACUGAGAAAAGGGAACGACGACGGCAAGUCGGAGAAAAAACACAAGAAAGAUGGAAAGUUGUUUCACGGCGACAAAGAUUUGUUUCUACAGAGAUAUGGAAAAAAUAAUUGUUUUGAGAAACAAUAUUGUGAGGAGAAGAGAGACUGGGUUUUUGAUCUGUCAAAGGGAAAUUGAAAGGGUGAAGAAGAACUAGGGUAUUGUGAGAAGAGCAAUCCCGCGUUUUUGUAAAAAAAUAAUUCUGCAUAACAGAGUGGUGAUCUAUCAUGGCGGCGCUGUGGCGGAAUAUUAUUGAAAUGGAGGAGUCAUAAGAAAAAACGAGAAAGAGAAGAGAAUAUGAGGGUAAUUUAGGCAAAAUAAAAAAUAAAAACACACUUUUUUAUAUUUAUUUGACUGGAGUUAAUUUUUUCUUUGUCCAAAAUAAAAUAGGUUGGACCAACCAUCAUUUAUUACUCUUUAUCAUGUGCAUUAGGUGCACAAGUUAACAUUGCCCA
rnacentral:lncRNA from 1 species